rnacentral:rRNA from 1 species
UAAGCGGAGGAAAAGAAACUAACAAGGAUUCCCCUAGUAGCGGCGAGCGAAGCGGGAAGAGCUCAAAUUUAUAAUCUGGCACCUUCGGUGUCCGAGUUGUAAUCUCUAGAAAUGUUUUCCGCGUUGGACCGCACACAAGUCUGUUGGAAUACAGCGGCAUAGUGGUGAGACCCCCGUAUAUGGUGCGGACGCCCAGCGCUUUGUGAUACAUUUUCGAAGAGUCGAGUUGUUUGGGAAUGCAGCUCAAAUUGGGUGGUAAAUUCCAUCUAAAGCUAAAUAUUGGCGAGAGACCGAUAGCGAACAAGUACCGUGAGGGAAAGAUGAAAAGCACUUUGGAAAGAGAGUUAACAGUACGUGAAAUUGUUGGAAGGGAAACGCUUGAAGUCAGACUUGCUUGCCGAGCAAUCGGUUUGCAGGCCAGCAUCAGUUUUCCGGGAUGGAUAAUGGUAGAGAGAAGGUAGCAGUUUCGGCUGUGUUAUAGCUCUCUGCUGGAUACAUCUUGGGGGACUGAGGAACGCAGUGUGCCUUUUGGCGGGGGUUUCGACCUCUUCACACUUAGGAUGCUGGUGGAAUGGCUUUAAACGACCCGUCUUGAAACACG